rnacentral:rRNA from 1 species
UACAGAGGGUGCAAGCGUUGUUCGGAAUUACUGGGCGUAAAGCGUGCGUAGGUUGUAUUGAGAGUCACGGGUGAAAUCCCCAAGCUUAACUUGGGAACUGCCUGUGAGACCUCAGUACUAGAGUAUGAGAGAGGAUUGUGGAAUACCUGGUGUAGCGGUGAAAUGCGUAGAGAUCAGGUGGAACACCGGUGGCGAAGGCGGCAAUCUGGCUCAUUACUGACACUCAGGCACGAAAGCGUGGGUAGCAAACAGG